GUCUUAUUGAUUAUAAUUUUAAGUCUAAUCUGCCCAAUGAAUUAUUAAAUGGCUGCAGUAUUUUAACUGUACAAAGGUAGCAUAAUAAUUAGUUUCUUAAUUAGGAACUGGAAUGAAUGAUUGAACGAGAUAAUAACUGUCUUAGUUUAAAUUAAAGAAUUUUAUUUUUAAGUGAAAAAGCUUAAAUUUUUUUAAAAGACGAGAAGACCCUAUAGAAUUUUAUAGUAGUUGAAAUAUAGAAAUUUAAGAAUAAGUAAUUUCUAUAUUUAUAAUUUUAUUUAGUUGGGGUGAUUGAAAAAUUUAUUAAACUUUUUUUUAUUAUUUUGUAUAUUGAUUUAUAGUUAUUUGAUCCAAUAUUUUUGAUUAUAAGAUUAAAUUACCUUAGGGAUAACAGCGUAAUUUUUUUAGAGAGUUCUUAUCGAUAAAAGAGAUUGCGACCUCGAUGUUGGAUUAAAGUUAAUUUUUAAUGUAGAAGUUAAAAAAUUAGGUCUGUUCGACCUUUAAAUCUUUACAUGAUCUGAGUUUAAAUCGGCGUGAGCCAGGUUGGAUUCUAUCUUUAAUUAAAUAUAAUAUUUUAGUACGAAAGGACCAAGUAUUAGUUAUAAUAAUUUUUAUUGAAUAUUA
rnacentral:rRNA from 1 species